AUGUCUCUGUCUCUCUGUGUCUAUCUCUGUCCUCUCUGUCUUUCUCUGUGUCUGUCGCUGUCUCUCUUCCUGUCUCUGUCUCUCUAUCUCUCUUUGUCUCUCUCUCCCUUCUCUCUGUCUCUCUGUGUCUCUAUGUCUCUGUCUCUCUCUCUCUCUCUCUCUUUCUCUCUCUCUGUCUCUGUCUCUGUCUCUCUCUGUCUCUCUCUGUCUCCCCCCCCUCCCCCAGCAGCCCAGAUCAGGACACUGACAAGAACUUUGAGAAGAAUGACAUUAACUAAUGCCCCUUUGCAUUCUGGGAAAUCUGGGAGCCUAGAGACAGGCAGAUUUCUGAGAGCUCUCCAAAAAAGUCAUUGGCAGGAGCAGCUGGUGGCUCAGUGGAUAGUGUGUCAGAACUAGAGUCCAAAGGUCCUGGGUUCAAAUUUGGCCUCAGAUGCUUCCUGGCUAUGUGACCCUGGGCAAGUCCCUUAACUCCAGUUGCCUAGCCCUUACCACUUUUCUGCCUUGGAAUUAAUACUUAGUAUUGAUUCUAGGACAGAAGAUAAAGGUUAAAAAGAAAAAAGUCAUUGGUACUCCUGGGAAAUGAGAAGAAUCUGGAGCUGGGGACACGGGGCCUGGGUUUGAAUUCCAGCUCAGCUGCUUACUAGCAGCAUGAGUCACCUUUCUGGGCCUGAUUCCCUCAUCUGUCAAAUGGGGAUAAUAAUACACUUGGCUUACACUGUUGUGGUGUGGAUCAAAUGAGAUAAUAUAUGCAGCAUGGAAAAAGCGGUGCCUACUUUAAAGCACCAGAUUAGCGUCAGCUAUAAUUUUCAUUAUUGUUGUUGUUGUUAACUCUUGCUGGUGCAUCAGAAUGUCCUAGCCAGGUGACCCUGUUUGCCUCAGUUUCCUUGUGUGUAAAAUGGAGAGAAUCAAAUGUACCUUGCCUACUUUAUAGGGUCUUCUAUGGUUUAAAAUAGUGUAAGUUGUUGUUGCUGUUAUUGUUGAGACAUCUCGGGCAUUUCAUAUCCAACUGACUUUCUUGGCAGAGAUACUGGAGUGGUCUGUCACUUCCUUCUCCAGCUCAUUUGACAUAUUAGGAAACUGAGGCAAACAGGGUGAAGUGACUUGUCCAGGGUCACACAUCUAGGAAGUAUAUGACUCUUCAUGACUCCAUUUGUAGUUUUAUUGGUAAAGAUACUAGAAUGGUUUGAUCUUUCCUUCUUUGACUUACUUUAUAGUUGAAGAAACUGAGGCAAGCAGCUUUAAGUGACUUUCCUAGAGUCACACAGCUAGUUGGCCAAUUCCUUCUCCAGCUCAUUUUACAGAUGAUGAAACUGAGCCAAGUGACUUGUCCAGGGUCACACAGAUAGGAAGUAUAUGACUCUUUGUGACCCCAUUUGGGGAUUUCUUGGCAAAGAUA
rnacentral:lncRNA from 1 species